ACACCGGCAGCUCUAGUGGUAGCAAUUUUUAUUGGGCCUAAAGCGUCCGUAGCCGGUUUAAUAAGUCUCUGGUGAAAUCCUGUAGCUUAACUGUGGGAAUUGCUGGAGAUACUAUUAGACUUGAGACCGGGAGAGGUUAGAGGUACUCCCAGGGUAGAGGUGAAAUUCUGUAAUCCUGGGAGGACCGCCUGUUGCGAAGGCGUCUAACUGGAACGGUUCUGACGGUGAGGGACGAAAGUUAGGGGCGCGAACCGGAUUAGAUACCCGGGUAGUCCUAACUGUAAACGAUGCGGACUUGGUGUUGGGGUGGCUUUGAGCUGUCUCAGUGCCGAAGGGAAGCUGUUAAGUCCGCCGCCUGGGAAGUACGGUCGCAAGACUGAAACUUAAAGGAAUUGACGGGG
rnacentral:rRNA from 1 species